UUUGGCAUUACAUUGAUAACAACAAUUUCAAACAGAGAGGAUGUUGGAUUGUUAUCAGAGGCUUUCUUCUGGUCAUUCUUACAAAGAUUUCCUUGAGUUUCUUGAAGCUGACAUGCUCCAUUCCAAUGCUUUUGCAGCUUCAUUUCCAAGAGGCAAGGAUGGUUCAUCCUUCCAGGUGAAAUUAGUUUGUAUUAUUUGACACCAGUUAUUCUUUACUUGCUUCAAUGGAUGGACAUACCUAUCUAUGAGUUACUUCAACCAACACAUAGUUCUGCACAAGAUCCGACGAAACCCAAAGAUGACGGCGGUGACAGACGGUGAACAAGUGGCGGCAGCAGGGCGGCGGACGCACAGAUCCGGUGGCUGGGCUCGGACCUGGGUGAAAAUGGCACGUUGGGGCUGGAUAGUGGUGCGACUGGUAGCGAGAGGCGCGGCGGUCGGCGUGAAGACGGCAAGGAAGGCGCGGCUGGAGAGCUGGGCAACUGACACGGUUCUUUUGUACAUCAGUAGAAAACAAUCAUCUUCAUGUAUCAAUUUUCGUCUGGAAAAGAGUUGUGGCAAAUGGCUGAAAAUGUGCUUGCUUAUUGUACGGCUAAACAAACCAGAAAACUUCAGUUCUUUUGUACUUCACAGUUAAAAUGAUAUUAAUACUCUUUAACAUGAAUGCAGCUGUUAUAUUACCAUCCCUACAACGGCUUUGUGAUUAUGCAUCACAGGUAGAUAGCAUUAAAGAUCUCGACAAGGGAAUGGCAAUCUCAAAGAGAUUAGAGCACAAGAGGGAACUUUUAGAUUUGAACAUAGGAAGAGAAGAUGAAUGUGGGAUCUUUUUGGAGUCACGUACCAAAAUUGUCUUGCCACAUUGUUGCCAUGCCAUGUGCACAAAUUGCUACCAUGAUUGGAAAUCAAAUCUUCCCCGUUCUGCCGAGGACAUUUGAAGAGAGUAGCCUCAGGGGAUCUGUGGGUUCUCACAUGCAGUAACGACGUGGUCGACACUCAUACUAUCAUGGAAGAAGAUAUGUUACGCUUCUAUAUUUUUAUAAACAGCCUAUCUGAGGAUACACCUGGUGUUCUAUUCUUAAUGUAUUAUGAACACUUGUUGUGACAAACCAAAUGUUUAGAACAUUGUACAUUAGAGGACUUUGCUAAUUAUCCACAAAUUUGGAGGGUUGGUUUUCGUUCUUAUAUCGGCUCUCGUUCUGUUUGUCGUGUGGAAUGCUGCACACGUUCGUUUGCAGUAAUGCAGUUUGUAUAUGAGGUUCCCUUCUUACGUAAUAUAUUAGUUCUUAAGUUUGAGUUCUGUAAAGCCAUUAGAAUAGUUGAAUAAAUGUUCUAUCAUCAGUUUACUUGCUGUCUUCUCUUGGGGAAAAGUCCAAUGAUGGAGGUGAUACAGGAAUUUUGUUAUUGAAACACUUGUUAAAAAUCGGAACACUUCUUUUCCUCUGUUGAUUUUAACCUCGACUACAUAUUAAAUGAAUGACUUUUAUGGGUGCCUAUCUGUUGAGUAGUUGGUCCUUCAAACCAUCUAUUCUUCUCUAAUUAAUUUCUAACCGUUUUUUCUUGUUCUCUUUUUACCGUCGGCUGAAAUAAUAAAGUAUUAUUAACUAUUAAGCUCUUCUUACGGACUGUUUUCCCAUGUUGCAUACU